rnacentral:tRNA from 1 species
GGUUUUAUAGUUUAAGAAAAACAUUGAUCUUGUAAAUCAAAAUUAGUAACCACUUAAAGCCA